rnacentral:lncRNA from 1 species
AAGCACUGCACAUAUUUGCAUAGCAAUUCGCGUCCUUGCUUCACUUCAAAAAACAGAAAUGACAAAUCAAAGAGUCUUCUUGUGAAGACGUCCCUUUGCUUCAGAAGAUGUUGCAGUUCCUCUCUCAAACUCAGGAACAGGGAGUAGGAAAUGGCAUCGGCUUUGUUUUCACCUUUACCAAAAGAGAGGUUCGGCAACAGCGCCCCCCUGCUUUGAAUUUUUUCUUUUUAAAAAGGGCUUCUGUCGUGAGUGGCACACGUGGGGCAGCUCAAUUGCUCUUCGUGCGGAAUCGACAUCAAGAGAUUUCGGAAGCAUAAUUUUUUGGUACUCGGGCAGCUGGUGAUCGUUGGUCUCGGCGCCCCUGUUCAGAUGGGUCCGAAAAGAAAAACGAGUUCUCGUUGGCCUCUGUAAGAGUAAUGCGGAAACUGAGGCCAAGACAGAGACUGAUCCAAGGUCACGGAGCCAGCAAGCACUGAACUUGUCCUCUCUGACUCCAAAACCAGGAAGUCCGCCUUUCGCUUUGGUCGUGGUGGUGGGCAGUGGGUGAGGGUGGGGUGAGGGCAGGGGAGGAAGUGAUUCACUUGGCUGUAUCCAGAUUCAUCCCAGACUUUUUUUUUCUUGUACCCACUGGCAGAACUUCCUCCUUUUCUCUCUCUGCCUCGUUUUCUGAUUCACUCCCCAUCUGUUAUGGUUUCUGAGAAUGUGGGUGCAGAGGGUGGGGUAAGCUGUGGGGAGUGGGAGGGAGAAUGCAGCCAGUCCUUAAUAAACAAAUAUUUUUUAUGCUCUCUAUGUACCAGGCAACGUUCUAGGGGCUGGGAGUCCUGCCGUGAAUAAAACAGACCUUGUCCCAGCUCUCAUGGAGAGUCCAUUGCAGGGUAGUUAGUGGCUGGCCAGGCAGCUAGAGACACUGUUCUGGGCUAGAAGUAGACACCUGAGAGGAGAGACCAGAGGCUGCCACUCGGGACCCACAGGCCACACUUCUUCAC